UUUAAUUAAUCAAUUUUCUUUUUUCAUUCAUUUGAUUUUAGUUACUGUGUAUUUGUUAAUUUAAAGAAUGCAACCAAACAAUAUUUUUUUCUUCAGCUUGUAGGGAUGAAACUAGAUUAGACAACUUUAACAUGAUGAAAUCUAAUUUAAUGUAUUUGUGUCACUGACGUGUUAUAAUUCAUAUUCAUCUGCCAAUAUACUUAUGUGAGUUGUAGACGACGAAAAGUAAGAUUAUACGCAUUCAACUUAAUAAGAACAUGAAUCCAAUAAAAUAGAAGUUUAUAUGUUUAUCUCCUUUUCAAAUUAGAUAAAUAAUGUAGGACGAAGUAAAGAUCGAAGCAAGAGUGAUAGGCAGGAAAGACGAUCUAACGUCCGCAGUGAUUGAGAUUCGAAGAGAAUGUGAUGAAGAACUCAUAGCCACAGGGAGGCUGUGGAUGGUACAACGACGUAGCCUCAAUGUCAAACAUAAUGGUGUUGAUCUACCUAGCAAGCUCUAAUGGCUCUAGUGUGUUUGAUAAGAAUAAUUCCAAUCCAUGGACUGUUCUCUUGAUUACUAUUGUAUGUAAUGUCGUAGAAAUAUUUGUUUCCAUCUUGUAAUUUUAUUUCUUCAGAUAUAUAAUUGCUGUCACGAGAGUAAACGUCGAUUCUUCACGUCCGGGGUCAAGGUUACGUAUGUUGUUUUUCAUGGAAAAAAAAAGCGCUAACCCACCGACCUUGAGGUUAACAGCCACACGCUCGAACCAGCUGAGCUACUGAAGCUUGUUGUUAGUACUUAAUAGUAAAUAUAUAUAUGUAUAUAACUUUUAAAUAAAACUCUUUUGACUUGACUCCUUAAACCCUAUUGACGAAAGACAGAAGAUAUUUCUGAAUGUUUCUUCAGAGAUGAUAUAUCAAACCUACACUUUCUCGUCUAAAAAGUCAUCUCCUCUCCUUUGUUGGGAAUAUCUUGAAAUCUAUUGUACUUACUCUCUGAUUAAAGUUGUAAAGUUCAUAUUCGGCCGUUAUAUAAUAUUAGGUGGUUAUAAUAUUCGAUCAUCACACACCUAAACAAAUUGGAUCAAAUUAUUAUUAAGUUUAAUUUGGAUUAAACUAUUAUUAGAGUUUUGAUGAUCUUCUAUUUAUAAGAUAAAUAGAAAUAAUAAAUAUGUAUUGUGUAUUCUACCUAAAUCUAAAUUGGAUUUGGAUCUUACUAAGCUAAUUACGUUGACGUAAUGACCACGUGAUGUAAUUAGGUUAACUCGACACAUAUAUAUACAUGUUUAUUAUUAUGUUAAAGAUCAUCUAUUGGCCGCUUAAAUCAAAACCCUAAAAACUAAGAGAUAAAAAGGUUUGUGUGAGAUUUGAUCUCGUCGGCACUAGCAUCCCGUUCUGAUCCAGUUUGUGUGCGUGUGGAUAUUAGUAGAGACACGGAGUUUGGAGUGUUUUUAGUUUAUUCAUCUUUCCGUUGCGAAUAACCAGGUAUAUUCAAAAUCAUAAAUUCUAGAUUUAUUUUAAUAUUGACAUGAGAUUCUAGGCAUAUGAAUUUAUAGGUUGAUUUAUAAAUCGUUAUAAACCGGUAUGAAAUCCAACAGUGGUAUCAGAACUUGCUUGCAUAAUACAGAAAAUAAAUUGAGAUAGCUUCAAUGUGUUUAUAGAGAUAUACACGUUCGUUGUUCUUUUGUUUAUGAAGAAAAGAAAUUAUGUUUGUUCUGAUAUCUAGCUAAUUCAAUUAAUCAGUUGCAAGUGAUUUAAGAAUAUCUAGAUAUACGCGUUCUCAUGUACGUUUACACAUUGUUUAUGCAUACAUAUAAUUUAAAGAAAGCACUCCUGUAAUACUUGUUAACUUGAUUUUAGAUAAAGUAAUAUGUAUCAUGGAAUCAUGUGAUUGUGUGAUCGUCACCGAGAAUUGGUUUCUGAAACCGAUUAUUCAAACAACAUGCACACGUCAAAGAAAUUGUUUCUGUAUAAUUAAUUUCAAAAGUCAACGUGUGUUAUUGUAACCUAGUUGUUCAGAUUCUGUGUAACCUUUUAAACCGGUUAAACCAGUUCUCUGGUUUAUUUGGUUAGCUUGAUCGAUUUGAUUCGAUCGUUUUUGUCUCUAUGUUUUAGAAUUCUAAUUUGAUUAGAUUCUAAAAUUAAUAUAAUUACUAGAUCUCGAUCCGCGUAACCGCGCGAGAUUUUAUUUUUAUUUAUUUUUAUACAAAUAUUUUAUUUUCAAUUCUAAAUUGGUAUAUAUUAUAAUAUAUAUGUGUUUAUCAUUUUUUAAAACAUAAUAAUUUUACUUUAUAUUUUUUCCAUUGAAUAUAUUGUUUCAAACUUUCACAUGUAUUUGUAUCUUCUUCUUUUAUAUAUAUAUUUUUGGAUUAUUAUUUCAUUAUUAAAAUCAUAACUAUACAUAUAAAGAUUAGUAAAAUAUUGUUUUACUUUCAUAUUCAAAAAUAUUGUAACAUUUCACAAAUUUAGAAAGUUUUUUAAAAAUUAAACUUUUCGCUUCAUAUAUUUAUAUUAUCGAGAAAAUAAUUAAACAUUUAAUUUUUGUUUAAUAUUUAAAAUAAACUAUAUAGUUUAAAUUUUUCUUUUCAUUGGUUUAAGGUAGUAAAGAUUAAUCAUUGUUAGAUAAUAUGAUUUUUGUGGUGUUAUAAAAAAAAGAUAAUAUGAUUUUUGUUAUUUAAAAUAAAAUCUUUAUAAUUUUAAAAGUUAACAUCGACAAAAUAUUUAAAUAUUUAGCAUAUAGAGGUAUAGUAUUACAAUAUUAAAUUAUAUCUAUUUAAUUUAUAUUAUCUAUAAAUCCAAUGGAACAUCUAUUGUUUAAAUCAAAUUAUUGAUAGCCCAAUAAAAAUUUUUGGUAGGCCCAAAAUUUAAAUGAUAAGAUUAAAUAUUAAAUGUAACAUGACUUUUUAUGAAUAAGUUUAUUAGGUCCAUUUUUUUAAAAAAUCACACAUAAAUCAAGGUUGUGACUUCUGUUUUUAUAUAUAAGAUUCAUAAUCCAAUUAAAGUACAUAUAAGAUAUGUAUUAGUUAUAUUUAUAUUUUAUAUUAGAUAUAAAUUUUAAAUAUAAAAGUAAAUUGGAAUAAAAUUUAUUCCUCAAUUAAUUUUAAGUAUUUUUGAUGUCUACCCAUUCUUAUCAACUAUCAAGGCUCGUUUCGUUGUAAGAUGGGCUUGCCAAAGCAAGGUGUCUGCCAUUACAUGAGUGAGGUAGAUGAUAACGGUUACCAUAUGAAUAUAAGAUUGGUUUAUUUGACUAAGCUAUCAAAACGGUUUUGGCCUUAGAGACAUAGGUUGGAUAAGACAUAAGAUGUCAUCUGACAACCAAGAAUUAUAUUGGAUAUAGUUAGCAAAGUGUUGCUUACCUAAAUAGCUAAACAUUCGGGCGAUGAGCCAAAUCUCACUCGAAUUUUAGUAAAAUAUGGAUCUUGAAUUAUUACAUUCAUUUGAGAAAAUUAUUUAAAUAUUCUUAAUUGUUGAGAUUUCUCCAAUUCAUGAACAUCAUAUUAAUAUUUGAUAUUCUUCUAUUUCAACAAUGUUAACUCCUCACAACCCAUUUUCAUUGCAAUAUGCCCUUGAGAAGGACAAAUUGAAUGGAUCAAAUUUCCUCCAAUGGUGUCGAAACCCGAGAAUUAUUCUCAAACAAGAGUUUAUACCCUACUUGGAAGAUCUAAAAAAGAAAAAGACUUUUGAAAUAUCGUCUAGUGGUAUUUAUAUUAUGGAAGUAAAUGUUACUACUUCUAGUUCUACUUCUUGGGUAUUUGAUACCGGCUAUGGUGCUCAUUGUUGGGGUCAAAAUCGGUCACGACGGAAUCAAUGUCUAAAAGUCCGUAAAAAUCAGCAUUAACAUUUUUACGAAAAAGUAAUCUUCGUAAAAAUAUCUUUACAAAGAGCCUUGCGGUAAAAUCUUGUUCAAAUCUCAAUCGAACCACUAAAUACCGAUUGUCCGAAGGAAACAGACAUGUAUCCAAUUCGGCCACGGACAAGCUCGAGUACGACAAUCGGACCACGGACUACCUAGCAAGCUCUAAUGGCUCUAGUGUGUUUGAUAAGAAUAAUUCCAAUCCAUGGACUGUUCUCUUGAUUACUAUUGUAUGUAAUGUCGUAGAAAUAUUUGUUUCCAUCUUGUAAUUUUAUUUCUUCAGAUAUAUAAUUGCUGUCACGAGAGUAAACGUCGAUUCUUCACGUCCGGGGUCAAGGUUACGUAUGUUGUUUUUCAUGGAAAAAAAAAGCGCUAACCCACCGACCUUGAGGUUAACAGCCACACGCUCGAACCAGCUGAGCUACUGAAGCUUGUUGUUAGUACUUAAUAGUAAAUAUAUAUAUGUAUAUAACUUUUAAAUAAAACUCUUUUGACUUGACUCCUUAAACCCU
rnacentral:lncRNA from 1 species